UGUAGGGAUGACAUUGGUCUUCCCACCAAUGCAGAUCAAUAUUUGGUGACUUAUAGUUGAGAGCACAGAGAAUAAGUGAUUGGUCCACAGUCACUAUAUGUCAAAACUUGGACUUCUUGAUUUCAAGACCAGCUCUCAGUAUGCUGCCUCUUUCUUUCCCCAGUCAUCCUAAUUUACAUCUUUCCACUGAACACACACGAUUCUGGAAGAGUAAGUGAACUUGUUGACUUUGCAAAUCCUUUCCUCACAUAAAUCCAAUUUACUUGCAUGUCAUGGCAUCACCUCUCUGAUAUCCUGGUCCUUUUUGAGAACGAAGGACAAACAACAAGGCUCUUAAGUGUUUUCUGAACUGAAUUGAGAAGAAAUAUUUGAUGAAUUACCUGAAUUUGUGACCAGUUACGAGUCUUUAUCAUUUGCUUUGGAAAACCAGUCUGACAAAUGGGCAGGAUGCAUAGACUUGCCUGCAUGUUGCCUAUUAUCAAGAGUGAACAAGGAUCUAUUGAAGAGGCAAGACAGAUCCCCAAAUGCAAACACAAUUAGGAGCUUUGCUGCAGAAGGAAGAAGCUAAUUGGAUUACUCAGGGCAGCAGGAGGCUAUUUCGAGAGAACAUACCCUAGCACGGAAAUGAAGAUUAAUCUAAUGUUGUUCCUUAGAGAGAAGAAAUUGUUUCCUAAUGUUUAGCAUUGUCGACUAGAUCUCCUCCCUUCUAUCACCUCAUACUUCAGCUUGUGCAGGAAACAGAAUCUCCGUUCUUAGAGAGAAAGAAUUCUUUCCCUUUUUUUUUUCUGUUGGAUAUUGGCUCCACGGUCCUGCAGUAGUUUUCAUUUAAUGAGAAAACUUUGCUUUCUUGGUCCCUUCCUGUGUUUCUUAGAGGACUAUCAGACGCAGUCCUUAUUUCCUGGGUCUUAACUUGAUAUACUAACAUUUCUAUUCUGACCAAAUGUAAGAACUUGUUCUGCCUAUCAUUCAUCUUCAUUUGCUUGCCAAGAUUGGAGUAAGGUAAGUGUGCAUGAUGCAAGGAUCUAUUACCCUAGUAAUUUGGCCCUAUUCUUUCUUCACAAUCCGCUUUUUUAUUUACUGGAAAUGUCCUCUCUACCACUAAAUUCCAGUUCAUCGUUUAGCUUGUUUAUGCUCGACAUGAAACUCUCCUAGCCCACCCCUCCCCUUUCAUUGAUUCUAGAGCACUUGUGACAAACCAAGAUAUGUGUGUGUGUGUGUGAAAGACAAAAAGAAGGGAAGUGGAGAGGAAGACAGAGAGUACCUUCUAUCCCUUACUAGACUAAAUUUCUAGAGGGCAGAGACUUCCCCCUCCUCUUGUAUUUCUUAGUAUCUACCAGAAACUUUUUUUAUGAUCUGGCUGCUUCCUCUGGGACUUUAUACUGGGAUUGACUGAUCAUGUUUCUUUUAUCUUCCAGGUCGUUCAAGACCUAGCCUGCUGCCUUGUCCUGAGCUCUCUUAGGACUCCGUAAGGCACCAUGAGCUGGAAGAAAUGGAAUCAGGAAAGCAAGGAAGUCCCUUUAGGAGAGUUCCACAGUAGUGGAAGAAGGAGAGAGCACCUGCUGAAGAGGCGGUUUCCUGCCCUGAGGUUCUUCUCUGAACCGGUUAAAUGGAAAAAGUGGAAAUCACCAGUCUCAGGAUCAGUUCCUUCAGUUCCUUCCAGUCCUCUGGUAAACGGAAAACCUCAAGAAGGUGAAAUUCAAUGUCUUCAUGGGACAAGCUCUAAAGAAGCCUUAUUUCCCCAAGAGGGAGGUACUUGGCAGGGCAUGCCCCUGAACAGUACAUGUCCCAGGUGUGAGAUCGUGAGUUGCAGGCAAUGUGACACCCUGCAUUCUGAACGAGACUUCAUUGCUCAUAGUGUGCUGGAGCACUAUGACCAGGCUGGGAGCCAGAGAGCUGGCCAGUUGCACAGGGGUCAUCAGAGGAGGAAAUGGAAUUGAUGGUUGGGAUCCCAUCCACGAAACUUGACAAAAGACAAGAAAAAUAACUGCUGAAAAUAUGUAUACACAUACAAAACCAAUGUCCACAUUAUCCAUAUUCCAAGGGGGAAAAAAAAGCAAGAAAUAAAAGAAAAUAUGCUUCAAUCUACUAAGUGCAUCAGUUCUUUAUCUGGAAGUGUAGAGAGCAUGUUUCACCCAUGAGUCUUUUAUAAUUAUGGUUAGUCAUUGUGUUUAGUUUUACUAAGUUUUUCAAAGUUAAUUAUUUGUAUAAUAUUGCUUUUAAUCUAUACAUUGUUUAAAUUCUGCUUAUUUCACUUUUUUCUUUUUUCUUUUUUUUUUAACUUUUUAUUGACAGAACCCAUGGCAGGGUUAAUUUACAGCAUUAUCUCUUGCACUCACUUCUGUUCUGAUUUUUCCCCUCCCUCCCUCCACCCCCUCCCCCAGAUGGCAAGCAGUCCUUUACAUGUUAAGUAGGUUAUAGUAUAUCCUAGAUACAAUAUAUGUGUGCAGAACCGCACAGUUCUCUUGUUGCACAGGGAGAAUUGGAUUCAGAAGGUAUAUUAUUUCAUUUUCUAUUGGGGCAUUGGGAAACCAUUUCUUACAAUGCAAUAGUAGUCUAUCAUAUUCACAUGCCAUGAUUUGUUCAGCCUUUUCUAAUACAUGAGCAGCUCCUCAGAAUUUCCAAUUCUUUGCUACCACAAAGAGAUGCUAUAAAUAUUUUUGUACAUAUGGUCCCCUUUUUGCUUUUUUUUGAUUACUCUGGAGUUUUGAUAAUUAGCUACCACAACAAAUUUCUUGUCAAGAUUUAGGAAUGGAAUUCUGCAUGUAUUACAAAGUCAAGU